rnacentral:tRNA from 1 species
UAUAUUUAAGUGUAUGAGGCAUGCAAAGUUUUGAUUUUUGUGGAGCUGGUGUAAUUCCAGUAUAUAUAA